UCAUUACCGAGUUUACACUCCCAAACCCAAUGUGAACGUUACCAAACUGUUGCCUCGGCGGGAUCUCUGCCCCGGGUGCGUCGCAGCCCCGGACCAAGGCGCCCGCCGGAGGACCAACCAAAACUCUUUUUGUAUACCCCCUCGCGGGUUUUUUAUAAUCUGAGCCUUCUCGGCGCCUCUCGUAGGCGUUUCGAAAAUGAAUCAAAACUUUCAACAACGGAUCUCUUGGUUCUGGCAUCGAUGAAGAACGCAGCGAAAUGCGAUAAGUAAUGUGAAUUGCAGAAUUCAGUGAAUCAUCGAAUCUUUGAACGCACAUUGCGCCCGCCAGUAUUCUGGCGGGCAUGCCUGUCCGAGCGUCAUUUCAACCCUCGAACCCCUCCGGGGGGUCGGCGUUGGGGAUCGGCCCUCCCUUAGCGGGUGGCCGUCUCCGAAAUACAGUGGCGGUCUCGCCGCAGCCUCUCCUGCGCAGUAGUUUGCACACUCGCAUCGGGAGCGCGGCGCGUCCACAGCCGUUAAACACCCAACUUCUGAAAUGUUGACCUCGGAUCAGGUAGGAAUACCCGCUGAACUUAAGCAUAUCAAUAAGCGGAGG
rnacentral:rRNA from 1 species